AUUAACGCUGGCGGUGUGUAUAAUACAUGCAAGUCGAGCGCCCAGCACUUUGUUUCCAAGUUUCUUGGAGCCAGGGUGCUGGGAGCGGCGGACGGGUGAGUAACACGUUGGUAACUACUCCAGAAUCAGGGAUAAGCUCUAGAAAUAGGGUCUAAUACCGGAUAGUCCCGAAAGGGUAAAGCAGCAAUGCGUUCUGGAAGGUGCCUGCGGCCUAUCAGCUAGUUGGUGAGGUAAUGGCUUACCAAGGCAAUGACGGGUAGCUGGUCUGAGAGGACGGCCAGCCACAAUGGAACUGAGACACGGUCCAUACUCCUACGGGAGGCAGCAGUAAAGAAUCUUUCACAAUGGGGGAAACCCUGAUGAAGCAACACCGCGUGGAGGAUGAAGGCGUUUUCGUCGUAAACUCCUUUUCUGAAGGAAUAACUUUGAAGGUACUUCAGGAAUAAGCAACGGCUAACUACGU
rnacentral:rRNA from 1 species